rnacentral:rRNA from 1 species
AAUCAUGGCUCAGGAUGAACGCUAGCUACAGGCUUAACACAUGCAAGUCGAGGGGCAGCAUGACCUAGCAAUAGGUUGAUGGCGACCGGCGCACGGGUGAGUAACACGUAUCCAACCUACCGGUUAUUCCGGGAUAGCCUUUCGAAAGAAAGAUUAAUACUGGAUAGUAUAACGAGAAGGCAUCUUUUUGUUAUUAAAGAAUUUCGAUAACCGAUGGGGAUGCGUUCCACUAGUUUGUUGGCGGGGUAACGGCCCACCAAG